GAUGAACGCUGGCGGCGUGCUUAACACAUGCAAGUCGAACGGGAAAUAUUUCAUUGAGACUUCGGUGGAUUUGAUCUAUUUCUAGUGGCGGACGGGUGAGUAACGCGUGGGUAACCUGCCUUAUACAGGGGGAUAACAGUCAGAAAUGGCUGCUAAUACCGCAUAAGCGCACAGAGCUGCAUGGCUCAGUGUGAAAAACUCCGGUGGUAUAAGAUGGACCCGCGUUGGAUUAGCUUGUUGGCGGGGUAACGGCCCACCAAGGCGACGAUCCAUAGCCGACCUGAGAGGGUGACCGGCCACAUUGGGACUGAGACACGGCCCAAACUCCUACGGGAGGCAGCAGUGGGGAAUAUUGCACAAUGGGCGAAAGCCUGAUGCAGCGACGCCGCGUGAGCGAAGAAGUAUUUCGGUAUGUAAAGCUCUAUCAGCAGGGAAGAUAAUGACGGUAC
rnacentral:rRNA from 1 species